rnacentral:rRNA from 1 species
UACGUAGGGGGCUAGCGUUGUCCGGAUUUAUUGGGCGUAAAGAGCGUGUAGGCGGCCAGGUAGGUCUGCUGUGAAAACUCGAGGCUCAACCUCGAGACGUCGGCGGAAACCAUCUGGCUAGAGUCCGGAAGAGGAGAGUGGAAUUCCUGGUGUAGCGGUGAAAUGCGCAGAUAUCAGGAAGAACACCCGUGGCUAAGGCGGCUCUCUAGUACGGUACUGACGCUGAUGUGCGAAAGCGUGGGGAGCAAACAGG